rnacentral:rRNA from 1 species
UACGUAAGGUCCGAGCGUUGUCCGGAAUCAUUGGGCGUAAAGGGUUCGCAGGCGGAUCUGCAAGUCAGAUGUAAAAGGCAGUAGCUUAACUACUGUAAGCAUUUGAAACUGCAUAUCUUGAGAAGAGUAGAGGUAAGUGGAAUUUUUAGUGUAGCGGUGAAAUGCGUAGAUAUUAAAAAGAAUACCGGUGGCGAAGGCGACUUACUGGGCUCAGUCUGACGCUGAGGAACGAAAGCGUGGGUAGCAAACAGG